rnacentral:rRNA from 1 species
AUUGAACGCUGGCGGCAGGCCUAACACAUGCAAGUCGGGCGCGCGGCGGACGGGUGAGCAAUUUAUGGGGAUCUGCCUGAUGGAGGGGGCUACCUUCUGGAAACGGUAGCUAAUACCGCCUCCCCUCAGAUUCCACCAUAUGGGAUUAGCUUGUAGGUAAGGUAACGGCCUACCUAGGCGACGAUCCCUAGCUGGUCUGAGAGGACGAUCAGCCACACUGGGACUGAGACACGGCCCAGACUCCUACGGGAGGCAGCAGUGGGGAAUAUUGCACAAUGGGCGCAAGCCUGAUGCAGCCAUGCCGCGUGUAUGAAGAAGGCCUUCGGGUUGUAAAGUACUUUCAGUCGGGAGGCGUUACCGACAGAAGAAGCACCGGCUAACUCCGUGCCAGCAGCCGCGGUAAUUC